UACAGAGGCCUCGAGCGUUAGGCGGAAUCACUGGGCUUAAAGCGUGUGUAGGCGGACUUCUAAGUGUCUUGUGAAAUCCCACGGCUCACCCGUGGAACUGCUGGGCAUACUGGCGAUCUUGGGCCAACUAGGGGCAGUCGGAACAAGCGGUGGAGCGGUGAAAUGCGUAGAUAUCGCUUGGAACGCCGAAGGUGAAAACAGACUGCUGGGGUUGCGCCGACGCUGAGACACGAAAGCCAGGGGAGCAAACGGG
rnacentral:rRNA from 1 species